GAUGAACGCUGGCGGCGUGCCUAAUACAUGCAAGUCGAGCGAACAGACGAGGAGCUUGCUCCUCUGACGUUAGCGGCGGACGGGUGAGUAACACGUGGAUAACCUACCUAUAAGACUGGGAUAACUUCGGGAAACCGGAGCUGAUACCGGAUAAUAUAUUGAACCGCAUGGUUCAAUAGUGAAAGACGGUUUUGCUGUCACUUAUAGAUGGAUCCGCGCCGCAUUAGCUAGUUGGUAAGGUAACGGGUUACCAAGGCAACGAUGCGUAGCCGACCUGAGAGGGUGAUCGGCCACACUGGAACUGAGACACGGUCCAGACUCCUACGGGAGGCAGCAGUAGGGAAUCUUCCGCAAUGGGCGAAAGCUUGACGGAGCAACGCCGCGUGAGUGAUGAAGGUCUUCGGAUCGUAAAACUCUGUUAUUAGGGAAGAACAAAUGUGUAAGUAACUAUGCACGUCUUGACGGUACCUAAUCAGAAAGCCACGGCUAACUACGUG
rnacentral:rRNA from 1 species